rnacentral:rRNA from 1 species
GAUGAACGCUGGCGGCGUGCCUAAUACAUGCAAGUCGAACGCUGGAACUCUAGCUUGCUAGAUUGAAGGAGUGGCGAACGGGUGAGUAAUACAUAAGCAACCUACCCACGAAGACUGGGAUAAUCUCUGGAAACGGGGACUAAUACCGGAUAGGUAAUCGGAAGGCAUCUUCUGAUUAUUAAAGGUUAAAAACACUGGUGGAUGGGCUUAUGGCGCAUUAGUUAGGUGGUGAGGUAACGGCCCACCAAGACGAUGAUGCGUAGCCGGCCGGAGGGGGUGAACGGCCACAUUUGGACUGAGACACGGCCCAGACUCCUACGGGAGGCAGCAGUAGGGAAUUUUCGGCAAUGGGGGAAACCCUGACCGAGCAACGCCGCGUGAGUGAUGACGGCCUUCGGGUUGUAAAGCUCUGUUGUAAGGGAAGAACGGUAGAUAGAGAAUAUCUAAAUGACGGUACCUUACCAGAAAGCCACGGCUAACUACGUG